GACGAACGCUGGCGGCGUGCUUAACACAUGCAAGUCGAACGAAGUGGCGAACGGGUGAGUAACGCGUAAUCAACCUGCCAUUCAGAGGGGGACAACAGUUGGAAACGACUGCUAAUACCGCAUACUGAAGGCGGGGAUUGCGUCUGAUUAGCUAGUUGGAGGGGUAACGGCCCACCAAGGCGAUGAUCAGUAGCCGGGCUGAGAGGAGGAACGGCCAAAUCGGGACUGGGACACGGCCCAGACUACUACGGGAGGCAGCAGUGGGGAAUCUUCCACAAAGGACGAAAGUCUUACGGAGCAACGCCGCGUGAGUGAUGACGGCCUUCGGGUUGUAAAGCUCUGUUAAUCGGGACGCGGUACCGGAAGAGAAAGCCACGGCUAACUACGUGCCAGCAGCCGCGGUAAUUC
rnacentral:rRNA from 1 species